rnacentral:sRNA from 1 species
ACCACUUCCACUUACCACUUCCAUUACUACCACGACUACCACUAACCAUCACCACUUUCAUCUCCAUUCUUGUCAUUAUUGGCUUGUUGUACGUUGUUCAAAUGUUUCAACGUAUGUACAUUUGUGACUACGAUUUCUUGUUAGCGAUAUAAACGAAGAGGAUAAAGACUUUGGAGUAAAUAAUUUUGGCCGUGCCACUAGCAUAAUGUAUUUGUGCGUCUAGGUAUCCUUAGCGUUGCAAGUGGAAAGUGGCUUCACACUAUAAAUGGUUGACACAGCUAAUACAUUAGACAUAAACUUUCUCAGCAUUCACGAACAGUAAAAAUACUAUUGGUAAAUGAUUCAUGGAUAUAUAGUAUUAGUAUUUGGCAUUCGUUUCGCUUAUGAAUUGUGAUUGAACCGAUAUCGUAUCAUCAUUAAAAGUUUCCUGUACAUCUUCUACAUCAUUCAAACAUGUGGAAGAAUCAUAAAUUUCACAAAAAUAAUGUCUCAAUCGCAUACGUAUUGGCUGCUCUGACUGGCUUGGNCUUCUGNAUGGGGAUCCAAAAUAGACGAGAAUGGUCAAUNC